GGAGGCUUAGCUCAGCCGGGAGAGCAUCUGCCUUACAAGCAGAGGGUCGGGGGUUCGAUCCCCUCAGCCUCCA
rnacentral:tRNA from 2 species